rnacentral:rRNA from 1 species
GAUGAACGCUGGCGGCGUGCCUAAUACAUGCAAGUCGAGCGAACGGACGAGAAGCUUGCUUCUCUGAUGUUAGCGGCGGACGGGUGAGUAACACGUGGAUAACCUACCUAUAAGACUGGGAUAACUUCGGGAAACCGGAGCUAAUACCGGAUAAUAUUUUGAACCGCAUGGUUCAAAAGUGAAAGACGGUCUUGCUGUCACUUAUAGAUGGAUCCGCGCUGCAUUAGCUAGUUGGUAAGGUAACGGCUUACCAAGGCAACGAUGCAUAGCCGACCUGAGAGGGUGAUCGGCCACACUGGAACUGAGACACGGUCCAGACUCCUACGGGAGGCAGCAGUAGGGAAUCUUCCGCAAUGGGCGAAAGCCUGACGGAGCAACGCCGCGUGAGUGAUGAAGGUCUUCGGAUCGUAAAACUCUGUUAUUAGGGAAGAACAUAUGUGUAAGUAACUGUGCACAUCUUGACGGUACCUAAUCAGAAAGCCACGGCUAACUACGUGCCAGCAGCCGCGGUAAUACGUAGGUGGCAAGCGUUAUCCGGAAUUAUUGGGCGUAAAGCGCGCGUAGGCGGUUUUUUAAGUCUGAUGUGAAAGCCCACGGCUCAACCGUGGAGGGUCAUUGGAAACUGGAAAACUUGAGUGCAGAAGAGGAAAGUGGAAUUCCAUGUGUAGCGGUGAAAUGCGCAGAGAUAUGGAGGAACACCAGUGGCGAAGGCGACUUUCUGGUCUGUAACUGACGCUGAUGUGCGAAAGCGUGGGGAUCAAACAGGAUUAGAUACCCUGGUAGUCCACGCCGUAAACGAUGAGUGCUAAGUGUUAGGGGGUUUCCGCCCCUUAGUGCUGCAGCUAACGCAUUAAGCACUCCGCCUGGGGAGUACGACCGCAAGGUUGAAACUCAAAGGAAUUGACGGGGACCCGCACAAGCGGUGGAGCAUGUGGUUUAAUUCGAAGCAACGCGAAGAACCUUACCAAAUCUUGACAUCCUUUGACAACUCUAGAGAUAGAGCCUUCCCCUUCGGGGGACAAAGUGACAGGUGGUGCAUGGUUGUCGUCAGCUCGUGUCGUGAGAUGUUGGGUUAAGUCCCGCAACGAGCGCAACCCUUAAGCUUAGUUGCCAUCAUUAAGUUGGGCACUCUAAGUUGACUGCCGGUGACAAACCGGAGGAAGGUGGGGAUGACGUCAAAUCAUCAUGCCCCUUAUGACUUGGGCUACACACGUGCUACAAUGGACAAUACAAAGGGCAGCGAAACCGCGAGGUCAAGCAAAUCCCAUAAAGUUGUUCUCAGUUCGGAUUGUAGUCUGCAACUCGACUACAUGAAGCUGGAAUCGCUAGUAAUCGUAGAUCAGCAUGCUACGGUGAAUACGUUCCCGGGUCU